rnacentral:lncRNA from 1 species
AACAAAGGAUUUUUUAAAAGCAUUUCUGCUUCUUAAAUCAACUCCUGGUUUUCACGAAACCCCAGACCUCUAAGGCUUCUUUCCAGCUAAACACUAAAGACAGCACCUGAGUUUCCCUCCAAAACAGAUAAAAUCCUGAAUAAGGGCUUGAAAGGAAACAGCUAGAAGAAACGAGGUAACCUUCCUUCUGGUUUCUUCCCUUGGCGCGCACAGGCAUGAUGCUACAGCUCUGUACUGUCAACGCUGUCACCAGGCAUCACUUCCUUAUGGUUUACACUCCUCUCUUCCCAUCAUGUCAUUUCUUAGAGCUCUGUAAUCACACAGUCGUGUGCAUCCAUCCCCAGCUGUCAACAGGAUCUUCUGAGUAAAACACAGCUAAAUAAAUCUCUGCAAUGAGGAAGGACCGCAAUCAAAGCUACCUUCCAUUAGAGCUACCUGCCAAAUUUUGGAUGGCAGCACCCCAAGAUGAAAGGAGCUUGGAUCCCCAAGUCAUUAUUUGGAGGAGAGCCUCUGCAAAGAACUGCCUGCUGUGCACUGGACUGUGAGUUUUAUUUUCAUACUGAGGAAGUAAGAAGAAAUAUUCAAGUUUUUCAAGAUGGAGUGAGAGGAAAUAGCCACUUCAUAUGGUGCUCUAGGAUAAGAAUUCUGCAAUCAACAACAAAAUACAUGUCCUUAAGACGGUGUCAUGGCUUAACUGUGCCUGCAAUUUAUGCAUUUUACCACCAGAGGGAGAUAAGGAAUAAUAGUCAUCGGAAGCUCCUGAGCCUACAAGCUCCUAAGUGCGUCAAUUUUUUUGAUUG